AACGAACGCUGGCGGCAGGCCUAACACAUGCAAGUCGAGCGAGCAUUUCGGUGCUAGCGGCGGACGGGUGAGUAACGCGUGGGAACGUUCCCUUUUCUGCGGCAUAGUCCUGGGAAACUGGGGGUAAUACCGCAUACGCCCUUUUGGGGAAAGAUUUAUCGGAGCAGGAUCGGCCCGCGUUGGAUUAGGUAGUUGGUGGGGUAAUGGCCCACCAAGCCGACGAUCCAUAGCUGGUUUGAGAGGAUGAUCAGCCACACUGGGACUGAGACACGGCCCAGACUCCUACGGGAGGCAGCAGUGGGGAAUCUUAGACAAUGGGGGCAACCCUGAUCUAGCCAUGCCGGGUGAGUGAUGAAGGCCUUAGGGUUGUAAAGCUCUUUCAGCUGGGAAGAUAAUGACGGUACCAGCAGAAGAAGCCCCGGCUAACUCCGUG
rnacentral:rRNA from 1 species